UUUAUGGAGAGUUUGAUCCUGGCUCAGGAUGAACGCUGGCGGCGUGCCUAAUACAUGCAAGUCGAGCGAACGGACGAGAAGCUUGCUUCUCUGAUGUUAGCGGCGGACGGGUGAGUAACACGUGGAUAACCUACCUAUAAGACUGGGAUAACUUCGGGAAACCGGAGCUAAUACCGGAUAAUAUUUUGAACCGCAUGGUUCAAAAGUGAAAGACGGUCUUGCUGUCACUUAUAGAUGGAUCCGCGCUGCAUUAGCUAGUUGGUAAGGUAACGGCUUACCAAGGCAACGAUGCAUAGCCGACCUGAGAGGGUGAUCGGCCACACUGGAACUGAGACACGGUCCAGACUCCUACGGGAGGCAGCAGUAGGGAAUCUUCCGCAAUGGGCGAAAGCCUGACGGAGCAACGCCGCGUGAGUGAUGAAGGUCUUCGGAUCGUAAAACUCUGUUAUUAGGGAAGAACAUAUGUGUAAGUAACUGUGCACAUCUUGACGGUACCUAAUCAGAAAGCCACGGCUAACUACGUGCCAGCAGCCGCGGUAAUACGUAGGUGGCAAGCGUUAUCCGGAAUUAUUGGGCGUAAAGCGCGCGUAGGCGGUUUUUUAAGUCUGAUGUGAAAGCCCACGGCUCAACCGUGGAGGGUCAUUGGAAACUGGAAAACUUGAGUGCAGAAGAGGAAAGUGGAAUUCCAUGUGUAGCGGUGAAAUGCGCAGAGAUAUGGAGGAACACCAGUGGCGAAGGCGACUUUCUGGUCUGUAACUGACGCUGAUGUGCGAAAGCGUGGGGAUCAAACAGGAUUAGAUACCCUGGUAGUCCACGCCGUAAACGAUGAGUGCUAAGUGUUAGGGGGUUUCCGCCCCUUAGUGCUGCAGCUAACGCAUUAAGCACUCCGCCUGGGGAGUACGACCGCAAGGUUGAAACUCAAAGGAAUUGACGGGGACCCGCACAAGCGGUGGAGCAUGUGGUUUAAUUCGAAGCAACGCGAAGAACCUUACCAAAUCUUGACAUCCUUUGACAACUCUAGAGAUAGAGCUUUCCCCUUCGGGGGACAAAGUGACAGGUGGUGCAUGGUUGUCGUCAGCUCGUGUCGUGAGAUGUUGGGUUAAGUCCCGCAACGAGCGCAACCCUUAAGCUUAGUUGCCAUCAUUAAGUUGGGCACUCUAAGUUGACUGCCGGUGACAAACCGGAGGAAGGUGGGGAUGACGUCAAAUCAUCAUGCC
rnacentral:rRNA from 1 species